AGAAUAGCGGGUGGACUUCAAACCCAGUUGAGGGCGUCAGACGCUCUCAGGUAGGUUCGACUCCUGCUGCCUUCCGCCA
rnacentral:tRNA from 1 species